rnacentral:rRNA from 1 species
AUACGUAGGGGGCGAGCGUUGUCCGGAAUGACUGGGCGUAAAGGGCGUGUAGGCGGCCGAUUAAGUCUGGAGUGAAAGUCCCGCUUUCAAGGUGGGAAUUGCUUUGGAGACUGGUUGGCUUGAGUGCGGAAGAGGUAAGUGGAAUUCCCAGUGUAGCGGUGAAAUGCGUAGAGAUUGGGAGGAACACCAGUGGCGAAGGCGACUUACUGGGCCGUAACUGACGCUGAGGCGCGAAAGCGUGGGGAGCGAACAGGAUUAGAUACCCUGGUAGUCCACGCUGUAAACGAUGAAUGCUAGGUGUAGGGGGUAUCGACCCCUCCUGUGCCGGAGUAAACGCAAUAAGCGUUCCGCCUGGGGAGUACGGCCGCAAGGUUGAAACUCAAAUGAAUUGACGGGG